AUUGAACGCUGGCGGAAUGCUUUACACAUGCAAGUCGAGCGGCAGCGCGGGGGCAACCCUGGCGGCGAGCGGCGAACGGGUGAGUAAUACAUCGGAACGUGUCCUUAAGUGGGGGAUAGCUCGGCGAAAGCCGGAUUAAUACCGCAUAAGCUCUGAGGAGGAAAGCGGGGGCUCCGUAAGGACCUCGCGCUGUUGGAGCGGCCGAUGUCGGAUUAGCUAGUUGGUGGGGUAAAGGCCCACCAAGGCGACGAUCCGUAGCUGGUCUGAGAGGAUGAUCAGCCACACUGGAACUGAGACACGGUCCAGACUCCUACGGGAGGCAGCAAUGGGGAAUUUUGGACAAUGGGGGCAACCCUGAUCCAGCCAUUCCGCGUGAGUGAAGAAGGCCUCGGUU
rnacentral:rRNA from 1 species